rnacentral:lncRNA from 1 species
AUGCUGUCUCUCUCCACGAUGACAAGGAUCUUGGUUGCUGAUGCUCACCACUUUCUUUACCCCUCAGCAUGGUUCCUGCCACGGACUCUCAAUAAAUGUCGCAUGCAUAGGUACAGGAACGGCCAAAGAGAUGGAUGGACAGAGGAGCCUGCAGGGUCUCACAAGCCGCAGGGAGGGGACUCCUUCCCAAGUGCUCAGUCACGGACAUCUGCUCUGCCGCGGUUGCCUUCGGGGAGGAAUAUUUUUAACACCGUGAUGCCACAAAAGGAAACUUCUGAAGCCUGGAUGGAAAUGGCCUCAGCGCUCCCAGGGCCGCAGAUGCCCAGAACCUCUGGAACAAGAAAGAAGGAGAAACUCAGGGACAAGAAAGCAAGAGUGCAUUGGAGUGGCGCUCCCUUCCUGGAGAUGUUGGUGAUGGCACAUGAGAGGGCGCUGCAUCUCCAGGGGAUUGUGAAGAGAGGAACUCUCAAGCCAGAGGCCGUGUGUGACCCAUAG